rnacentral:sRNA from 1 species
GUGACAUUGGGAAUGAAGUGGUUGAUGCGCUCGCCCAUCAAUGCCCAGGUGCGCUUACCGUCGCUGACCAUCUGCACUCCCCGGCGCCUGAAUUCCUU